rnacentral:lncRNA from 1 species
UUUGUGAACAAAGAUUCCGACUAAGGAAUUCUGUUGACCGAGGGGGAUGGUGUUAGGCAUCCCUCGAUCUCAUGGUUCGACCACGGUCGCUUGGUGGAGCAUAUCAGCUAAUUUGACAUUACAAAUGUACAAACCACACAAAAACACACAAACAAUCAAUCAAACACAUGAAACAAAACAAAUCCAAAAUAUAGUGUUCAGUCCAAUUAUACAGUUCAAAAUAAAAAAUGCGAAAAAAUAAAUCCUAUUCUAACCUACACUAAUCCUGAACUAUGCUCCAGUGCUUUACCCGAUGCCUCGGGCCUUCAUCACGGGCGUCCUUCGAGUACAAAAUACUGUGGGUUAUUCCCCAACAAAUAAACAAAAAUACCUCGGGGCAUUUUCCGGCCAAAUAAUACAUUUGAUCCAAAAGCAAUAAAAUCAAGCCAUUCAACACAUGUUUCGAGCAUUCAACAUUCCACAAUUCCUAAAAUUUGCCAACCCGAACCUACUAUUUGCCUACCCAACUCGACCUAUCAUGGAACUAUCACGAUCGACGACGUCAAUGAAUCAAAACAACAAAAAAAUUAAAAUUAAUCCUAAUUCACUUUAGCAAUUUUUCAAUUCCGCACCAAAUUCAUUCUCAACCAAUGAUUAACACAUGCAUCGAUUAUCAAUUCAUUUUUCAACAUUCAAAUCCAACAUCAACCAAUACACAAUCAAGAUUCAAACAUAACAACACAUAAAUCAUUCACGAUUACGUAAAAAUUAAAAAAAGAAAAGAUAGAAUUAGACCUCAGUGCUUUCAAAAAUCAAUGUAUUAUUUCGAUCAACCCGGUAGAAUCCGCGUCCGAAAUCCUCGAACAAAACCCCCAAUCACGAUCAAGAAUCCAACUCGGUAUCAAGAAAGUGAAGCCCAAAAUUGAUUACGGUGAAUUGAUCAGGACGAAACAAAAUCUAAAUCCCAAAAUCAGUUCGAAGACAGAUGAGCUAAGACCAAAAUUGCAACAGACUAAAUCGAACCCGUUAAAAUUCUCAGCAAACGAACUCACAACUUGAACAAAAAAAAACCCCAAAACCCGAACUAACCCGAACAAUCCCACUAAACCAUUUCAAUUUUUAUCAUUUUUCGACGAAAAUUGGUCAGAAUAAACUGAAACGGCUCAAAUUUUUAUGGAUUAGAUGGAUGACUUACCUUUCGACGAGAUUCGGACGAAAAACCGGGAUCGGGACUGACUUCUUGAUGUGAGUAUGGUUGGAACGAGAUUAGCGGAGCUUUCUCGGUGGCGAUUCUAGUGAGUCACCGGCGAGAACUUCGCCGGAAGGCAGUCCAACGGCCUCUAUGUCUCUCUCUCGAUCUCUCUGGCUCGCUCAAAUCUCUCUUACCUUCAACGAUUUCUCACUGUUUCUCUUUUAACUCUCUAUGCCUCUCUCCAUCUCUCACUCUCACUCUCCUCUCUUCUCCUUACCGUGUGUAUUUUCUGAGUUUUCAGUGAGCUGGUGAAAAUGCUAUGCCAGUGUAAUUGGGGAUUUUGUGGUGAUUAGUGAAUAAGAAAAGGAAAAAAAAUGUGCGAUGUGUUCUAUGUUGAGAAAAAAAAGAAUCCUGUGGUGCGUAUGUUCUGUGUAUAUGGAUUGGUCAAGAAGAAAAGAAAAUCUCCUGUACCUAUGUGUUUUUGGAAAAAUGGAAAAGAAGACCAAAGAGAAAGGAAAAAAAGGUCUCCCCUAAUCUAUUCCAGUGAAUGGAAAUUAUAUCGAUGGAAUGUGGGGUCCAUGAGUGAGGUGUCUAUUUUGAUUGAGUAGGUUAUUAGGAUAAGGUGUAAAGUUGGUUAGAAUAGAAAUAAAACAAGAUAAAGUAUGUUAGGGAUUAUGUUAAGGGUUGUUAUUUUUUUUUUUUUUGUGAGGUAUAAUUACAUGGAUAAGGGUGUACAAUAAAGUGAGG